UGAAAAUCCUGCAUCCUGGAUCCUUGCACUUCCCUGCAGGAACAGAGGAAAUGUCUGUGAAGCUCUUUAUGAAGCUACGGAACAAGGGAAGAAAGCCCUGGGUCCCCCAGCCUCCUCACACAGGCAUGGCAAGUCAACUGGAAAUUCAGAGUACCAGGAGGGAAGUCCAGACUUAUUUUGCAGAGGAAGGUUCUGCUGUGAAAAGUCCUGUGCAUCUCUCAGUGGUUUCACCUUGCACUCAGGUUUUAGGAACAUUUGCUGUCCUAAAUGAGUACCUUAUGUCAGAAAUUUCCACAGACACAUCACUCUGAGAUAUGCAGAUGAGGAUUUCUGAGACAGCAUGUGAUAAGAACCUGCCCUUGGAAAUAGAGAAUAUCUGCAAGCAAGUGGAAUUUUUGAAUGGUCUCAUUAUCCUUAGGAUUUUUCCUUACACAGGCCUGUGGGAAUGUGCACUGCAGCAAAUGUAAAUGAAGACACUUAUUUUUCAUAACCCUAUGGCUACAUGAUAAAUGCAAAAUGUUGUUGUCCCCUUAGAACAAAAAAUACGGUUUACCUCUUGGUAGUUUUCAGGAAACCAUUUAGUGUUUUGGCAGUGAGAUGUUAAGAGGAGUUUC
rnacentral:lncRNA from 1 species